rnacentral:rRNA from 1 species
UACGUAGGGGGCAAGCGUUGUCCGGAUUUAUUGGGCGUAAAGAGCGUGUAGGCGGCCAGGUAGGUCCGCUGUGAAAACUCGAGGCUCAACCUCGAGAUGUCGGCGGAAACCAUCUGGCUAGAGUCCGGAAGAGGAGAGUGGAAUCCCUGGUGUAGCGGUGAAAUGCGCAGAUAUCGGGAAGAACACCCGUGGCGAAGGCGGCUCUCUGGGACGGUACUGACGCUGAGACGCGAAAGCGUGGGGAGCGAACAGG